rnacentral:rRNA from 1 species
CGCGCAGGCGGGUCGAUAAGUCAGAGGUGAAAUCCUACAGCUCAACUGUAGAACUGCCUUUAUACUGCUGAUCUUGAGUAUGGAAGAGAGAGACGGAAUUCCAGGUGUAGUGGUGAAAUACGUAGAUAUCUGGAAGACACCAGUUGCGAAGGCGGUCUCUUGGUCCAAUACUGACGCUGAGGCGCGAAAGCGUGGGUAGCAAACA